ensembl:miRNA MIR4773-2 microRNA 4773-2
UGCUCCCCAGCCUUUCUAUGCUCCUGUUCUGCUUUGAUGAAAUAAAGCAGAACAGGAGCAUAGAAAGGCUGGGGAGCA